AAUAGAUACCCCGGUAGUCCACGCCGUAAACGAUGAGUGCUAAGUGUUGGGGGGGUUUCCGCCCCUCAGUGCUGCAGCUAACGCAUUAAGCACUCCGCCUGGGGAGUACGGUCGCAAGACUGAAACUCAAAGGAAUUGACGGGGGCCCGCACAAGCGGUGGAGCAUGUGGUUUAAUUCGAAGCAACGCGAAGAACCUUACCAGGUCUUGACAUCCCGGUGACCACUAUGGAGACAUAGUUUCCCCUUCGGGGGCAACGGUGACAGGUGGUGCAUGGUUGUCGUCAGCUCGUGUCGUGAGAUGUUGGGUUAAGUCCCGCAACGAGCGCAACCCUUAUUCUUAGUUGCCAUCAUUCAGUUGGGCACUCUAAGGAGACUGCCGGUGAUAAACCGGAGGAAGGUGGGGAUGACGUCAAAUCAUCAUGCCCCUUAUGACCUGGGCUACACACGUGCUACAAUGGACGGUACAAACGGUUGCCAACCCGCGAGGGGGAGCUAAUCCGAUAAAACCGUUCUCAGUUCGGAUUGUAGGCUGCAACUCGCCUACAUGGAACG
rnacentral:rRNA from 1 species